rnacentral:rRNA from 1 species
GUGGGGAAUAUUGGACAAUGGGCGAAAGCCUGAUCCAGCCAUGCCGCGUGUGUGAAGAAGGUCUUCGGAUUGUAAAGCACUUUAAGUUGGGAGGAAGGGCAGUAAGUUAAUACCUUGCUGUUUUGACGUUACCGACAGAAUAAGCACCGGCUAACUUCGUGCCAGCAGCCGCGGUAAUACGAAGGGUGCAAGCGUUAAUCGGAAUUACUGGGCGUAAAGCGCGCGUAGGUGGUUUUGUAAGUUGGAGGUGAAAUCCCCGGGCUCAACCUGGGAACUGCUUUCGAAACUGCGCAUCUGGAGUGAUGGAGAGGAGAGCGGAAUUCCCGGUGUAGAGGUGAAAUUCGUAGAUAUCGGGAGGAACACCAGUGGCGAAGGCGGCUCUCUGGCCAUUGACUGACGCUGAGAUGCGAAAGCGUGGGGAGCAAACAGGAUUAGAUACCCGUGUAGUCC